rnacentral:rRNA from 1 species
UGAGUACGAGCUGCUACGGCAGCGAAGUGGGUGAUGUCAUGCUUCCAAGAAAAGCCCUAUACCCGUUAAGGCAUCACUGCCUGUACCCGAAACCGACACAGGUAGGGUGGUAGAGAAUACCGAGGGGCGCGAGGUAACUCUCUCUAAGGAACUCGGCAAAAUGGCCCCGUAACUUCGGGAGAAGGGGUGCCACCGCAAGGUGGUCGCAGUGAAGAGGCCCAGGCGACUGUUUACCAAAAACACAGGUCUCCGCUAAGUCGCAAGACGAUGUAUGGGGGCUGACGCCUGCCCAGUGCCGGAAGGUUAAGGAAGCUGGUCAGCGCAAGCGAAGCUGGCGACUGAAGCCCCGGUGAACGGCGGCCGUAACGAUAACGGUCCUAAGGUAGCGAAAUUCCUUGUCGGGUAAGUUCCGACCUGCACGAAUGGCGUAACGAUCUCCCCGCUGUCUCUAACGUGGACUCAGCGAAAUUGAACUGUCUGUCAAGAUGCAGACUACCCGCGGUUAGACGGAAAGACCCCAUGAACCUUUACUCCAGCUUUGCACUGGCAUCAGGAUUGUGAUGUGCAGGAUAGGUGGUAGGCAUUGAAGCGGGGACGCCAGUCUUCGUGGAGCCUCCCUUGAGAUACCACCCUUCGCACUCUUGAUGUCUAACCGCGGCCCGUUAUCCGGGUCCGGGACCCUGCAUGGCGGGGAGUUUGACUGGGGCGGUCGCCUCCCAAACAGUAACGGAGGCGCGCGAUGGUUGGCUCAGACCGGUCGGAAAUCGGUCGUUGAGUGCAAUGGCAGAAGCCAGCCUGACUGCAAGACUGACAAGUCGAGCAGAGACGAAAGUCGGUCAUAGUGAUCCGGUGGUCCCAAGUGGGAGGGCCAUCGCUCAACGGAUAAAAGGUACUCUGGGGAUAACAGGCUGAUGAUGCCCAAGAGUCCAUAUCGACGGCAUCGUUUGGCACCUCGAUGUCGGCUCAUCUCAUCCUGGGGCUGGAGCAGGUCCCAAGGGUAUGGCUGUUCGCCAUUUAAAGAGGUACGUGAGCUGGGUUUAGAACGUCGUGAGACAGUUCGGUCCCUAUCUGCCGUGGGUGCAGGAGACUUGAGAAGAGUUGACCCUAGUACGAGAGGACCGGGUUGAACGAACCACUGGUGGACCAGUUAUCGUGCCAACGGUAGUGCUGGGUAGCUAUGUUCGGACAGGAUAACCGCUGAAGGCAUCUAAGCGGGAAGCCCCCUUCAAAACAAGGUCUCCCUUGAGGGCCGUGGAAGACCACCACGUCGAUAGGCCAGAGGUGUAAGUGCGGUAACGCAUUCAGCUGACUGGUACUAAUUGCC